GGUUCUGUGCCAAAACCGACAUAAACAGAGAGUCGUAUUUUAAGAACUCUCAAGACUUUCAGAUUUCAUUCAAAUAGAGUUCUGUAGGUGCCAUAUAAAAUGCAACGCCUCAGCUGGCUGCUGUGUGAUCUGGCACGUGAGUUCACGUAAAAAGGAAACUCCCAGUGAUGGAAAGGAAACUAAUCUUUUGUACAGCAUCUUUCAUACAUACUCUAAAGCAAAACACUUAAUCAAAGUGUUCUAGACAUAGUCAAAGAGGUAAACCAGAUUACAUAAAGAGAGAAAAGUCAAGAGUGAGCAGGGCAAAACGCUAACCUCUCAUUCUGUUUUUGUGGAGAGACCAUUUCUUUGGCUUUUUCCAUCACGCACUUUCACCUGGUGCAUGAAGAAGGCCUGGUCUGCGAUGAUGGUUUAUUUUACACUGGACUAUUUUUCAUGGCUGAUAUUUUCUAUUCUACUGGCACAAGAACUUUUACUACGUGAGCAGUCUUACAUUGAAGGAGAACAGAAGAUUGCUCAAACAAUAGUUAAGCCAAGAGGACACAGCAUGCCAGUGAGUGGGUGGCAUCCAGGGUAAGGUCUACCCAGCACCUACUGUCCCCAGGCAUCAAAAUCCCCAGCAACUCAGAGGGCUAUCCAUUGGAAAACAAAGACCCUGAGUGAGACAUUAUCUUUAAAGAAGUGUUUUUAUUUGCUUCAAAACCAGAGAGAGUCUGCUGUACAAAGAAAUGAACUCCAUACAGCAUAAAACACUGACAUGAAGGCACUCUGUAAGGAAGUAGAGAGAAAAGGUCUGGGAACAAGGAAGAGAAAAAAAGGCACAGAGUGCUUCAAGAAGCAUGGCCAUUUUGGAUCUGGACAGAAGGGAGCACAGAGCCGAUGGAGACUGGGGACAGCAGUGGUACUACUUAGCUCAACAUGAGAAAAGUACCAGCAAGCCUUGUGUAAAGAAAUGUUCUCUGCAAGGGUCCUGAGGAGAAGGGCCGGCUGAACUAAGAGGUGCACAAAACUGCAAAGGCAUGCAGCAGCUUUUAAAAUGUAACAGCCAGUGGGGGUGGGGGUGGUUUAAGACUUACUUCUGCUAAAAGACCUUUUGUUUCUGCUGGAAUGGAAGAUGCAACAUGCAGAGCAUCUUUCUCUAACCUGACACUGGCUGUGGGUUUGCUGCCCAAACCAGCUCCACCAGUGCAUGUGUGCAUGCCGUGACGGAGGAAAACUAUUGGGCUGAGAUUGUCAGGAGGGGAACUGAGGAGUAUGAAAACAUCACAAUAAGUGUAAGUUACUAUCGUUGAACUUGGCACAAAACAAAACAAAACAUUAAUCCAACAGAGCACUUGAAUAAUGAACACCCUUUUUGUACAGGCAAAACAUCACCAACAGUCACCUACCACUGCAAAUUUGCCUGCCAUGUCUGAGUGUCACAGACAGGUGUCCAGACAGCUCCCCUGUGGUUUAGGCAAAUACUUGUCUAAUACUGUGGUUAAUUUAAGCAACAAUAAAAACAAUGCUUCAUUUUGGACAGAGAUUCCACAUAGCAAUCUCAGUGAGUUUAGGGAGGGUCAUACUUGCCGGCCCCUUUCAGCUGCUGUUACUUUCUCCUGUGACCCUCUAUAUGUACAAUAUUCAGCACACCACAGGAAUUAUGAGGCACUACUAAGUGCCGCCACACAACAACACAUUUUUCUCAACAAAUUUCUAGUUAGAGAACAAGUUCUGCCUAUUCAAAGUAGUCAUUUUGUGAACUUAAAAACAAGACACCCCAUCCCUCAUUCCCUAAGGGCUCCAAGUGACCCAUAACCUUCAAGAACUUCAACAAAUAAUGAUUCUUUUCAUUACCAUCCUUGAGUUCAAAACAAUGGAAAAAUCUAGCUCUGUACUAAUGCUACAGAUAUUUUAGCAGAGGUUUUUGAGUACAUAAUCAAAACAGCACUUCAAAAGAGGGAAUAUGGAAAUAAUUAUAAGAGAAGGUCACAAGGGUGUAGGCUGCUUCAAUAUGGUCACAACAAAAAUGAAUUAAUUGGGACACACACCAAACAAGCAGGCUCAAUUAAGUCAAUAAGUCUCUUUAACAAUUCACUUCAGCAUUAGUCAUCAUCCCUCCUUUAUCUUUUAAGAGUAUAAUAUCCUCUUCCCUAUGGUGGAUUUUUAGCUGUCAGUUCUGGGAAGCUCAUGGGAAGCUGGAAAAAUAUCAGCUUUCUGAUAAACCUGAGCUGGUGAAAGCUGGUCCCUUGCCAAGCAGCUGCAUAUUUUUCGUUGAUGCAAAAGAAGAUCCCGUAAGUGUUUUGAAGGUACAUCUUUGAAAGGUUUAUUCCUGGAGUCCUAACUACAGUGCUGCUUUCUUCUCUUUCUGCUGAAUCUUUUCUCUGUAGCAAAGUGCUUUUUCUAUUCAGCAAGCUGCUUAGUCUGUUUGUGACAAACCAGAGUUGGUCUCUAGUGCAACAGGAGCCUCAGCACAUUGUGGAAGAUUUCUCAGCUCCAAGAAAACCACCUGCUUCCACCCACCUUGCCCUCUGGGCAGCUCUGUCUGCCACAACUGGAGCUGUGUGUCCAUACAGUGGUCCUGAAAUCUCACCAAAAGGUACCCAGCAACCGAUCUCGCCAGUGACCUGAAGAAUCAGUCUUGGCUAACUGGGGAGGUCCCAGUUGACUGGAAGUUGGCUAACGUGAUACCCAUGUACAAGAAGGGCCAGAAGGAUGAUCCAGGGAACUACAGGCCUGUCAAUCUAACCUCAGUGCUGGAGAAGAGUGCACUGACCACCCCUUCUGAAAAGCCUUUAGCCUGACUUUUGUCAAGAAAUGCUGAGAGAGGAGACUGUUGCUGGUUGAAGAUGUAACUGAAGAAGAGAAUAAAGCGUGACCUGAAUACAUAAGUAACUGUCUGGAGUCACUGAAUCAGCCUUGUGACUGCUAGUAGCUGUCGAACACAAAAAGUUCCCCAGGGACUGGCUUUGGACUCUGAUAUAUGGUACUUGGAUUAUUAUUUUCUUUAAUGUAGCUUAAAUAUUUUUUUCAAUUACUGCUUCACAGCCUUUUAUACUACAUUAUAUUUUAAUCUGUUGUUCAAUGCCAUGCCUAGCAUUUAUACUAGCAACUGAAAGAAUGAAAUAUUUAACCAAAAAAGAUAAAGCUAAGAAAACAAGCAAAAAGUAUCAUGAAGUGUCAUUCAAAGAAGAUAAAUUCAUAUUUAUAACCUUUGGUGAUUUACUGUCUGCUCUCACAUUCUGUAAUUCACUUAAAACAGCUGCUCCUCUGUUUCGUCUUCACACCUCCAUAGACCUCAGAAGCAACAAAAUCCACAAGGGCAGAUCCUUAUGGUCACAUGGAAGCAUAUGGAUAGAAAUUAAAUAGAUUGUCCUUUGCAAUAGGUAUUCCUUGAAGAUGUGGAAGUGAGAGGUGUUAAUGAGCCUUAACAAAGAAGGUCAACAUUUAUUAUCUCUCCAUUCUUCUGAAAGAGUAGAUCAUAUUUAUACUUUGGGUUAUUCAGACAGUUUGACACCACACAGAUGGUCAAGAAGAAAUCAGGUAAGUAGGUUUGAAAACGAAGUGAACAGGAGGGAGAAAACAGAGAGUGGUGGUUGGACUAUUUUCAAUCAAUCCUGCUUGCAAUCCAAAUGUGAUGAAGAAAACAAGUCAGAUGUCUAGAGGGUCUGGUGACAGAACAGCCACCCAGCAUGAGGCUGAGGGCUAAGAGGGAGAGACAGCCAAACUCAACAGGCGGUGAAUUGGGAAAAGGCAGAUGAAAGUGGAUCCAGAACAAGAGGAAAGGAAGUGUGUAACACAUCCCUCCUCGUAAUCCAGGGGAUAAAGCUUGAUGUGACAAAUAUGAGAUGCAGAAGGAAGCUCCCACAGGAGAAAGCAUCUAAAAAAACUCCACCAAACCAGAAAAUGAAGAAACUGACUGAGAAACAGUGCUGGACAAGGUAAGGAGGUUUCUAGGAGCCCAUGGAGAGAGGAUGAAUGCUGCCAGUAGGGCAGAUGUCCCACAGCAAGGCACCUCACUUUGCUCUGAAAGACUUUGAUGGCUCAAACAGGCAUCAAAUAACUUUUGGUUACCACCUCGAGUGGAUUGCUACUCGCCUGUCGAUUUGUGAUCUUUCAGGUACCACACAUUUACCCAAGAGGUAAAUAUAGUGUGAAUGUCACAAAAGCUUGUCCCAUUUGUAAGGUUAUUUCUAUUUUGUUGCAUCUAAAAGACAAAAAGUUCAAGAAAUGAUUUAUUCAGAAAAAAGGUAUGCAGGUCAGGCAAUCAUGCAAACACUGCUUUAAAAACAUUUAUUUGGUCAAAGAAGUUUUCUUUCCUUCUUCUCUCUGCACUGAUCUGUUAUUAUAAUGUCUUCCUACUUUCUGCAGUGUCCCCGUCAUCAAAGAUGCAUUUUAUUUCUUUGGAGCCUUCCACUUACAUGUUCAUCUGUCACCUCUGGCAAGCACACUGUAUUUAAAAACGGAGAACUCCUUUUGUGAAAUAUGUAAUUAAGGCUUGCUACAAGCUUGUUUGCUGAAAGCCUGCAAAGGGCUCACAAGCUCAAAUAUAUAUUGACUGUAUGAAAUUGCAGCAUUCCAAAUACUAUAUAUCUUACUCCUUUCCCAAUUUACUUUCACAAAGGGUUUAUCUGCAGCACCAGAAUUCUUAUUUCUAGUAAGUCAGUUAAAAUAAAGAGAGGAAUACUGCAGUUCCUCAGUAAGAUAUGUCCUGCAACUUCUUGAAGGAUCCUAAGCGGUCCUGCAGUCUUCACUUGUCACCACCAGCACCACAGCAACCUGUCUGGCGUUAUUUUAGGAUGUAUCUCUUACUGUGAGCAGACUCAUCCACUAUCAGCCUGAGAUAAGCAACUUCAUUUUUCACAUAAAAAUUUUGUAUGUUCUCCACAAAACCAAAAAGAUUUUCUUUUUUGUUCUGACUCAAGCCUCCACUGAAAUUCCAGGCUGGUUUGCCUGACCCCCUGACCCCUUGGCAGUAGUGGGGUCUUUUUGGUUUGGUUUUGGUUUGGGUUUGUUUUGUUUGUUUGGGUUUUUGUUUGUUGGGUUGGGUUUUUUUCAAAUGCCUUUUUGUAGCUGUUGAAAGCGGUCAGUGCUGUACCCCACAACACCAAUCCAGGGGCAACUGUUCAGACAAACCCACAUACCCCAGUGUGCGGCCAGGGCUGAGCUCGCCCCGGUCUGGGAGCCUUGUAGCACUGGCAGCAGAGCGUGAACAAAGGAAGCGUCUAUGUAGCCGUGCUGUCAGUCACAACAUGUGUCACAUAUCGUAAGUUAUUUAGAGGGAUUUAAUAAUACUCUAAAAAUAAAAAUUAACACAAAAUAUUUCUCAAAUAUAAGAACCCUAGUUCCACUUGCAAGGAGGACAUGGACUUUUUGUUUCGUAAGUCCUGAAAAACACAUCA